CAUGUCUCUGUUAGCCUGACUGCACUGCUUGCCUUUGGGACACAGUGUGUGUAUUCAGCCCUGCAGUGAAGGACCCACAGUAUAGCUGCUCCUCUGAGACUCGACCAAGUGUUGAGGUUUACUGAUGUGUGGAGCCAGACGGGAAGAUGACAUCAACUCUGGUCAUACUGGUUUUCUGCCAAUGUUUGUGCAGCUCAGGAUUCCCUGUGGUGUUUAAUCUCGGCCUGUUGGCAGAUCUGGCACAGAGAGCUUCUGAAGCUGAAGUGAACGCACGAUCUCUAUCCUCCUUCCUCUACAGGGCUACUAACACAGCUGUUCGGCGGAUCAGUCAGGUGGACUUUGAUACUUAUGACUUUAAUCUCAGCUUUAACAUGAGGAGAACGGACUGUCUCAAACACCUCACAGGAUCUCCAGACGGCUGUCUCUUCAGCCUCAGACAGUUUAAACCUGUUCACCUCUGCUCCAGCUAUGUGCGUGUUUCUGCUCAGUUCGUUUCUCCGCUGGAGGUCAGCUGUGAUCUGAGAGCUCUGAGCUCCAGCUCUAAGUCCAGUAGUGAGGAGAUGUUCCUUCGGGGGAUACCGCAGGCUGGAGGGAGGCUCCACACACCGGGGUUCAUCAUCUGUGAAGGAGCUCGCAGCUGCUCCAGACUGCUGCUGUGAUCAGCAGGAAAUCUCUGAGAAAAUGAAAGCAAGUAAUACAGACAGACCUUCCACCAUAUACAACAGGGGUUUAUAUAUGAAAUUCAGUGAUGGAAGGGUUUUAAAAUUAAAGAAAGAUGUAAAAUUAAAUGAUGUUUUUUUUUCUUCUGAAAUCUCUGUGAUAGAAAAUUCAGCAAUAG
rnacentral:lncRNA from 1 species